rnacentral:rRNA from 1 species
UACGUAGGGGGCUAGCGUUGUCCGGAAUCAUUGGGCGUAAAGCGCGUGUAGGCGGUCCGGUAAGUCCGCUGUGAAAGUCGGGGGCUCAACCCUCGGAUGCCGGUGGAUACUGUCGAGCUCGAGUCCGGAAGAGGCGAGUGGAAUUCCUGGUGUAGCGGUGAAAUGCGCAGAUAUCAGGAGGAACACCAAUGGCGAAGGCAGCUCGCUGGGACGGUACUGACGCUGAGACGCGAAAGCGUGGGGAGCAAACAGG